AAAACGUGUUUUAUUCACAGCUCUUGUUCAUCCGGAGAAUCAAUUGAAUAAUUUUCUUGCGUAUUCCGAAGUCGACGCUUGGCGUGUUAUAGAAAUACAAUCCGGACAAGGUUCCAGUGCCCACGGAGAGUAUCUGCUAGUAUUUCAAACGUUAGCUAUUUAUGUCGAUUUGCAAGGCCGAAAGUCUCGAGACUGAGAAAUUAUGUACCCGGUCAUACCCACCAAUAUAACUGUCCCAGCAGAACUGUCAACACGUAACCUCCACUAGUUUAUUGUCAGAAAAAUCUCACAAAUACCCCGAUCAACCAUCACAACCAGAGCUAGUACUCACUCCAUCAGCAGCAGCAACCUCAUACCUACAGUAACCAACAGCAGGUGCAUCUGAUGAAUCACUCCAACUACUCGAUGGAAAGCGAGGAGGGUGAUGUGGAAGAUAUCCGAGGUCAUUCAUUAUCUAGUUCGAAGAGUAAUCUAAGUGAUCAUUCGCUGGUAACGUCCGUAUUUUAUCCCAAAAAUGUGACAAACAGUAGCAAUCAAUAUAUGUCUUCCCUACAAAGUAUGCAUAGCGUAAUGAUGCCGAAGCAGGAGGUUCAUCAGUUCCUUGUGCGUACG